GUCUGUGUGGCCGCGAUUCUUAUGGACAACAACGAGGUGGCGGCCAUCUUGUUUCGCAUGAAUGCAGGCAGCGGUUUGGGCAUGAAUCUCAUGGAACUGAAAUCGUAUACAGAAACUCCCGAACACCGCUGGACUUCCAUCAUCGCCUGCGUUCGUUUCUAUUCAGCUUAGAAGGACACUGUUCGGUUAGAUCAUUCGUCUAGAUGAAGGGAACAAGCUCCAGG